GUGCUUGCUUUGGUAGCACAUACAUUAAAAUUGGAAUGAUAUAGAGAAGGUUAGCACAACCCUUGCUCAAGGAUGACAUGUAAAUUUGUGAAGCUUUCCAUGUUUUU
rnacentral:snRNA from 1 species